UGUACUGAAGCGGACACGCGUGGAACGGCGUGCUUACUUUGGGCGAGCGUGACGGUGGUGCCGGCCGUAAUUGGCACCGGCACUGUAAUCUCGGUGCCUCCUUCCCCGGCGGGUAUGCUGAUGAUGGUGGCUUCGCCCAGCACCAUGCAGCCCCCUGUGAUGAUGGAAUGAAGGCGGAUAUCUCAGCUGUCCACAAAGACCAACGUCUUCAAAACCUAUCACGUGAAGCAUGAAAACUAAGAGGUUUGAUUUAGGAACAGUUAUAUUAGCUGCCGUUCCAGGUGUUUUGUGGAACCUCCCCCAAGAGGCGGGGCAACCUGCCCAUCACCACCAGGAACUGCCCUCCUCUCUAUAAAUCCGCAGGAUCUCCCAGCAGUUCCUGGCAGCUCAUGGACUAAAUAAAGAAACCUUAAACUCUGUAAUGGAUGGCUUCCCUGCCAGGAUAGACUCUCUUCCCUUGCCUGGCCAGAAGGCCCAGGUGGCAAAUGGGCAAAAAGAGUGGCAGGAAGUUCCCUGCUUAAGCCAGAAGGGUGGCAGAAGAUUCCAGUACAGAACUGGGCACGCUGACAUCCCAGCAGGGUUGGACCAAAGAACAACACCCGACCAGGAGGCCAGUGUGACAGGAGAACAUGGGGAGAUAGCCUAGAGUCCUGGCAGGAUCCCCAGAUAUGCUGGAUGACAGCAUCCUUGGGUCAGGAUUCCUACACAGGCACCCGCAGGACAUGCUGAAACUGGCAGUUCUGAUGGGUUUCAUGGGGUCCACCAGGGUGAGCUGAUGGGAUUAAUGAUCCCUACUUUAUUGUACCUUUGAUUAUCUCAGAAGUAUUUCCACCGGGCUAUGCCCUAGCAGUGGAUGUACUCCCAGGUCUGGCAUAAAAGAAGCCACUAGAACUCAUCCAGGUGAGUUGGAGUUGGGUGAAAGAGGACAAAGCUUGCCUGGGAGAGUGGAAGGAGAAAAAAAAGAAUAGAAGAACAAUUGUGUUGUGUUUUUAUUCCAGUGCUAAAUCCUUUUUAAAAGAUGCUUGUGCUAAUACACCUUUUAUUUAACUGGGACUUGUGUUGGUGAGGUUGUGACAGAGGUUUGGUGUGCUGCAAUGCCCCCUAGUGGUCAUACUCUUCAAUUCACAAAUCGGGGCAGAAACAGGAAAAACUGGUUUUCUUGAUAAGUGAUGAAGGAUGAUCAAUUUUGUAACCUUGUCCUAUUACACUUGUCUGCAAACAGACUGAUGUUACUCAAUUAUGUUGACCUCUUUUGUAAGUCGUUUUAGAUAAAAGUGUCUGCUACGAAAAUAAAUGUAAAUGUGAGCAAGAAUGAACUACUAAUUAUAAGACCAGUUGUAUGCCUACCUACC